rnacentral:lncRNA from 1 species
AUACUGGCUUUUCAGGCACCGAUCUGUACUGGGUGGAUCUGCUUGCUCCCCUCUGAGGAUCCCUUCCUUUCCUCCCCAUUGGUGUUGUUGGAGGAUUAAAGUAGCAGCGGCCCCAUACACAAACGCAGCUGGUUCCGUUUGGUCAGCCUGAGCCUUGCUGUGAAACCACGACAAGAAUUCCAUUUAUUACAGGAGACUUCUGAUCCUGUAAGCAAAGCCUCCAAAAUGUUUACCCUUUUCCCAAGACUGCAUUCCAACCUGAAAUAUCAGGGUAUCUUCAUCUUCCCCCUGUGAUGGUAAGCACUGUUCUACCCCUUUUAAUAGGUUUGUGAUUUCUGAAAUGGCA